rnacentral:rRNA from 1 species
GACGAACGCUGGCGGCGUGCUUAACACAUGCAAGUCGAACGGAAAGGCCCUGCUUUUGUGGGGUGCUCGAGUGGCGAACGGGUGAGUAACACGUGAGUAACCUGCCCUUGACUUUGGGAUAACUUCAGGAAACUGGGGCUAAUACCGGAUAGGAGCUCCUGCUGCAUGGUGGGGGUUGGAAAGUUUCGGCGGUUGGGGAUGGACUCGCGGCUUAUCAGCUUGUUGGUGGGGUAGUGGCUUACCAAGGCUUUGACGGGUAGCCGGCCUGAGAGGGUGACCGGCCACAUUGGGACUGAGAUACGGCCCAGACUCCUACGGGAGGCAGCAGUGGGGAAUAUUGCACAAUGGGCGGAAGCCUGAUGCAGCAACGCCGCGUGCGGGAUGACGGCCUUCGGGUUGUAAACCGCUUUCGCCUGUGACGAAGCGUGAGUGACGGUAAUGGGUAAAGAAGCACCGGCUAACUACGUGCCAGCAGCCGCGGUGAUACGUAGGGUGCGAGCGUUGUCCGGAUUUAUUGGGCGUAAAGGGCUCGUAGGUGGUUGAUCGCGUCGGAAGUGUAAUCUUGGGGCUUAACCCUGAGCGUGCUUUCGAUACGGGUUGACUUGAGGAAGGUAGGGGAGAAUGGAAUUCCUGGUGGAGCGGUGGAAUGCGCAGAUAUCAGGAGGAACACCAGUGGCGAAGGCGGUUCUCUGGGCCUUUCCUGACGCUGAGGAGCGAAAGCGUGGGGAGCGAACAGGCUUAGAUACCCUGGUAGUCCACGCUGUAAACGGUGGGUACUAGGUGUGGGGUCCAUUCCACGGGUUCCGUGCCGUAGCUAACGCUUUAAGUACCCCGCCUGGGGAGUACGGCCGCAAGGCUAAAACUCAAAGGAAUUGACAGGGCCCCGCACAAGCGGCGGAGCAUGCGGAUUAAUUCGAUGCAACGCGUAGAACCUUACCUGGGUUUGACAUGGAUCGGGAGUGCUCAGAGAUGGGUGUGCCUCUUUUGGGGUCGGUUCACAGGUGGUGCAUGGCUGUCGUCAGCUCGUGUCGUGAGAUGUUGGGUUAAGUCCCGCAACGAGCGCAACCCUUGUUCACUGUUGCCGGCACGUUAUGGUGGGGACUCAGUGGAGACCGCCGGGGUCAACUCGGAGGAAGGUGGGGAUGACGUCAAGUCAUCAUGCCCCUUAUGUCCAGGGCUUCACGCAUGCUACAAUGGCUGGUACAGAGAGUGGCGAGCCUGUGAGGGUGAGCGAAUCUCGGAAAGCCGGUCUCAGUUCGGAUUGGGGUCUGCAACUCGACCUCAUGAAGUCGGAGUCGCUAGUAAUCGCAGAUCAGCAACGCUGCGGUGAAUACGUUCCCGGGGCU